rnacentral:RNase_MRP_RNA from 1 species
UGAGUUUUCCUUGCUUGUCUCUCGGGGUCACAAACGAGCUCCUAGUAGCUCUCAUUUAUCACCCUGGGUAAAGUCCCCGGGCCAAGGAUAGAAAGUAUCAAGGCGUAAAAAAACAGUUGGUGCGACGAUCCCGCCGUCGUUUACAAUUUCGCCUAUAUUUCGCGGUAUUUCGCCUUGCGUACUCCAAUGAAGAGAGACCCCUUAUUAAGGGUCUCGAAUUGAUGCGCUCGGUUGACUGCGGAAAUGUGCCAGAGAACAUGAGAUAUGGACGAGUAGGGGGGCGUGUCACAGCGCCCGCCUACACGGAAUGGGGCUUACGUAGGGAAAUUC